rnacentral:rRNA from 1 species
AAUCUAAAAUGACUCUCGGCAACGGAUAUCUCGGCUCUUGCAUCGAUGAAGAACGUAGCGAAAUGCGAUACUUGGUGUGAAUUGCAGAAUCCCGUGAACCAUCGAGUCUUUGAACGCAAGUUGCGCCCGAAGCCAUUAGGCUGAGGGCACGCCUGCCUGGGUGUCACACA